UGCAUCCAGUCAUUAGCUACGAAUCGCAAGUCCUGCGAAAGAAGACAGAGAGGAAGAGAGAACACUCGCGAUGUUCUCUUUCUUUUCGCUAUUUCCCGGAAGCGAGUUGUGCGUCGUGGACGCAUGCGCACCCGACGUUUCUUGGCGUUCUCAUGGAUCUUACAGAUGUGUUUGCUCAACUCGCAGCCUCGGAGCACGUUGUAUUUCGGCAACGAAGGAAGAGAGUAAUUCACUCAAAGCUUGGAGACUAAUUGGCAAACAACAAUCUAGCUGGUCAUGAUGGUCGGAGGGUCGUCUAACAAGUAUUUUGCCAAAUAUAAUUUCAAGAUAUGGAGCAGAGCAUGGAGCUCAAAUUGCUGCAAUGAAUAACCACCAUCUUGAUUCAAUGGAGGAGUCCUUGUUUCAAGCCAUCAAGGACAAUACGAGCCUGGUCAACAUUGCCCGGCUAUUAUUGUAUUAGUGCACCCUGUAAAGCACAUAUCCGACCCAACCUACCGUCCCC